AGCGAACGCUGGCGGCAGGCCUAACACAUGCAAGUCGAACGGACCCUUCGGGUUUAGUGGCGGACGGGUGAGUAACACGUGGGAACGUGCCUUUUGGUUCGGAAUAGCUCCUGGAAACGGGUGGUAAUGCCGAAUGUGCCCUUUGGGGGAAAGAUUUAUCGCCAUUAGAGCGGCCCGCGUCUGAUUAGCUAGUUGGUGAGGUAAAGGCUCACCAAGGCGACGAUCAGUAGCUGGUCUGAGAGGAUGACCAGCCACAUUGGGACUGAGACACGGCCCAAACUCCUACGGGAGGCAGCAGUGGGGAAUCUUGCGCAAUGGGCGAAAGCCUGACGCAGCCAUGCCGCGUGAAUGAUGAAGGUCUUAGGAUUGUAAAAUUCUUUCACCGGGGACGAUAAUGACGGUACCCGGAAAAGAAGCCCCGGCUAACUUCGUGCCAGCCGCCGCCGUAAGAC
rnacentral:rRNA from 1 species